UUCUCCUCUGUUCCUCCUUCCCCACGCGAGCGCUCUCUCCUCUGCUUCCCCUUUCCUCCCCGCGACUCUGCCCGGCUCUAGGGUUUUGCCCCCGAUCGAAAUGGUGGAAGUGGAGGAGGUCGGGAACAAGAUGCGGUCGCAGAUGCGCCUCCAUCCGGAGCCGGAGGGCGACGCCGACCUCCCGCUCCCCGCCCUCUUCGACAGGGCGUCCCGGCUCCACGGCCUCGCCUCCAGCUCCGCCCUCGACCAGGAAGGGAUCCGGAAGGGGGUCGAGCUGCUGCGGCGCUGCGACGAGAUGGUCAGCAAGCUCGGCCUCUUCUCCACUAACGAGACCAAGGAAGACGUCUCCACCGCCAACCUCAAAUACCUGCUCGUCCCAUAUUACCUCGGGGAAAUGACUGAGAAGAUCGCACAGGAGGACAGGAUCCCAAUUCUUAAGGCGUCACAGAAUCAUUUGAAGGAAUUCAUUGCUCUAUGUGAAGUACUGGAGCUUAUUCUAGAGGAUGAGCUUGAAUUAUCUAGACAGAAGCAACCUGAUACUAUGGCAAACAGAAGAGCACAGAAGAUUGCCCGGUUCAAACGUCAAAAAGCUGCAGAAAUGAAGCUCCAAGAGAUUAAAGAGAGAAAAGAAAGGCGUGGACGCUCAUUGAGGGCUGCUGCUUUAUCUGCUCCUGUUGAAGCUGGGGAGGAAGAUGCCUUGGAGGAUGAUGGGGAGGAAGAAAGAGAGGCUUGGUUAGCUACUAUCUCAUUGGCUCUCUGCAAGGCCUUUGAUCUUCUCGACAUGCUAAAGAAGGAAGAAGAAAUGCUUCUAGCUGUAAAGGAAAGACAGGAAAAGGAUGGGAAUGCAUUUGCUCGUGAAAUGCUUGAUGAGCGUACACAAAAAGCUGAAGCAUGGCACCAGAAUGCUGCAAACCGUGCACCAUAUUCCAAACCAGCUGAUCCAAUCACUUGCGCAACAUUUGCUCAAGAUGUCCUUGAAGGUAGAGCAAGUGUUUCACAAGCUCAUGAGCACAAACACCAACCCCUGAUAUUUGGACCUGCAAGUCUUGUUGGUGGAGGACUAACCACUGAAAGGGAAAGAAUGACAGCACAAGUUUUCCAGCCUGGUUACAGGACUUGUAGAAACGUCCAGUAUACCUGUCUGGACCAGGAGCUAUCUGCCGGAAGAUUCUUGAUGGUUAGCCAAACCUCAUCUUCAGUAAUAGGAGCAUCCAAAGCUGAAAGAUCAAUGCCUUCCCGAUGGAAAAAAUCAAGAUCCAAAGUGGAGGCCCUCACAAGUGGAGUGCCAAUUAGGCCAUCAAAAUAUUCAAAGAAGGCAGCAUGCUUAUCCUCCUGACUAGUGACCACCUCUCCAUUUUGUAUGAGUUUAGAGAUGAAGUUUUUCCUCUUACGAAAUCUGGCUUGACUAUGGAACAAGGCUGUGUUUGCGUCCCCAUCUUUUAAGAACCUAAUCCGCGAUCGCAGCCGGGCCACAGUUCUUUCCAGGGAAGACAGGACCAAACAAUAUCUCUUGGACUCACAUCUCAACCAAUCUUUUUCCGGAGUCAGUGCACGGCUGUCUUGUGCAAUCUCCAGUCGAUGCAAAAUCUCCCGAGCUAGACCUAGCUGUGUUUUUACAUGUCCCACUUGUUUUUGACUCCAAGAUUGUAGAGCCUUAGUGAGCCUUUUCAACUUCAUGGCAAUCUGCUCCAUGGGACAAGAAGCUGAGACUGGCUGUUCCCAUGACUGUGCAACUGUUUCAUGGAAAUCUGGGAACUUAGUCCGAAAACUCUCAAAGUGAAAUCUCCGCUUACCACGGUUCCCUUCUCUGAGGCCAAGAAGCAAGGGGCAAUGAUCUGAUAUUUGAGAUGCCGGACUCUGAAGAAUACAAUCCGGGAAAGUGUCCUCCCAAUCUGAAGUGCAAAGGACUCGAUCAAGUUUAACUAGAGUCGGUGCCUCUCUUUCAUUCGACCACGUAUAUCUCCUACCGAUCAGCGGCUGCCAACAAUGAGCAUAGAAGAAGCCGGUUUACGUGAAAUGAAAAUGAUGGAGAAAUGGCAAGAAAGGACUGCAAACAUGAUCAAAGAAGCAAACUCAGCAUGGCACAAGGACGGCACUAGCUCAGCCCAAGAAGAUGAGGACGCCGAGGAGGCAAAAGCAAGAGCUUGGGACGACUGGAAGGAUGACAACCCUCGUGGUGCUGGCAACAAGAAGCUCACGCCCUGCGGCUAAAUCGCUUGCAAUGUGUUGAAAUACCCCCUUGUGAUGGAUGUUCGUGUAGAUUUUAGAUUGUUUGAUUUUUGUUGAUGUCUCAGUUGUGCUUUUGUAGUAAUGUUCUGUGUAAGUAUGAUACGAUACCGAUAAUGUGGUCUGCAAGUCAGCAAGUGCAUUAUUUCAUAGGCUAUUGAAAGAGUAGCAUCUUGUCUAA